rnacentral:lncRNA from 1 species
AAGUGAUCGCAGUUUCAACCGCAAGAUUCAAAAAGAAUAAUUAUAAGUAAAGCAUAAACUUACCGCUUAAGACUAAUUACAUACAGAUUCUUAUUUUUCAACUUUUUAUAUUUACCUCUGUAAAAGUUAUAACAUUUUCAUAUAUAUCUCUGUUGUUAGGGUCCGUUAAAAAAAUAUAAUUACUAAAAUACUUAAUCUUGGUUAAUGAAUAAGAUAUAUUAUUUUUUUAUUCCUCUUAAAUUAUUUGUGAAUAGUGGAAAGAAAGAAGAUGACUGUUGAAAAUUUUUGGAAGAAUAUUUAUGUAUAAUUCUAACAGUUGGGACUUUCGGAGCACUAUAUAUGUAAUGACAAAAAUAUCAUUUUACUUAUUUUUCGUUGAAAAAUAAACAGUAUUUUAACGGUAAUAAAUUAAAGAGAUAAAUAAGAAUAUUCCUGAAUUUUUAUAGAAAUAAAUAUGAAAAGUUUGAUUUUGUAGUUAUAUAUUUACUUUGCGAUAUGUUUACAUAGG